rnacentral:rRNA from 1 species
GACAGAGGGUGCAAACGUUGUUCGGAAUUACUGGGCGUAAAGCGCGUGUAGGCGGCUCUGCAAGUCGGAUGUGAAAGCCCUCGGCUCAACCGAGGAAGUGCACCCGAAACUGCAGAGCUAGAGUCUCGGAGAGGAUCGUGGAAUUCUCGGUGUAGAGGUGAAAUUCGUAGAUAUCGAGAGGAACACCGGUGGCGAAGGCGGCUCUCUGGACCACAACUGACGCUGAGGCGCGAAAGCUAGGGGAGCAAACAGG